rnacentral:rRNA from 1 species
GGGUUGUGAGGUUAAGCGACUAAGCGUACACGGUGGAUGCCCUGGCAGUCAGAGGCGAUGAAGGACGUGCUAAUCUGCGAUAAGCGUCGGUAAGGUGAUAUGAACCGUUAUAACCGGCGAUUUCCGAAUGGGGAAACCCAGUGUGAUUCGUCACACUAUCAUUAACUGAAUCCAUAGGUUAAUGAGGCGAACCGGGGGAACUGAAACAUCUAAGUACCCCGAGGAAAAGAAAUCAACCGAGAUUCCCCCAGUAGCGGCGAGCGAACGGGGAGGAGCCCAGAGCCUGAAUCAGUGUGUGUGUUAGUGGAAGCGUCUGGAAAGGCGCGCGAUACAGGGUGACAGCCCCGUACACAAAAAUGCACAUAUUGUGAGCUCGAUGAGUAGGGCGGGACACGUGGUAUCCUGUCUGAAUAUGGGGGGACCAUCCUCCAAGGCUAAAUACUCCUGACUGACCGAUAGUGAACCAGUACCGUGAGGGAAAGGCGAAAAGAACCCCGGCGAGGGGAGUGAAAAAGAACCUGAAACCGUGUACGUACAAGCAGUGGGAGCACGCUUAGGCGUGUGACUGCGUACCUUUUGUAUAAUGGGUCAGCGACUUAUAUUCUGUAGCAAGGUUAACCGAAUAGGGGAGCCGAAGGGAAACCGAGUCUUAACUGGGCGUUAAGUUGCAGGGUAUAGACCCGAAACCCGGUGAUCUAGCCAUGGGCAGGUUGAAGGUUGGGUAACACUAACUGGAGGACCGAACCGACUAAUGUUGAAAAAUUAGCGGAUGACUUGUGGCUGGGGGUGAAAGGCCAAUCAAACCGGGAGAUAGCUGGUUCUCCCCGAAAGCUAUUUAGGUAGCGCCUCGUGAAUUCAUCUCCGGGGGUAGAGCACUGUUUCGGCAAGGGGGUCAUCCCGACUUACCAACCCGAUGCAAACUGCGAAUACCGGAGAAUGUUAUCACGGGAGACACACGGCGGGUGCUAACGUCCGUCGUGAAGAGGGAAACAACCCAGACCGCCAGCUAAGGUCCCAAAGUCAUGGUUAAGUGGGAAACGAUGUGGGAAGGCCCAGACAGCCAGGAUGUUGGCUUAGAAGCAGCCAUCAUUUAAAGAAAGCGUAAUAGCUCACUGGUCGAGUCGGCCUGCGCGGAAGAUGUAACGGGGCUAAACCAUGCACCGAAGCUGCGGCAGCGACGCUUAUGCGUUGUUGGGUAGGGGAGCGUUCUGUAAGCCUGCGAAGGUGUGCUGUGAGGCAUGCUGGAGGUAUCAGAAGUGCGAAUGCUGACAUAAGUAACGAUAAAGCGGGUGAAAAGCCCGCUCGCCGGAAGACCAAGGGUUCCUGUCCAACGUUAAUCGGGGCAGGGUGAGUCGACCCCUAAGGCGAGGCCGAAAGGCGUAGUCGAUGGGAAACAGGUUAAUAUUCCUGUACUUGGUGUUACUGCGAAGGGGGGACGGAGAAGGCUAUGUUGGCCGGGCGACGGUUGUCCCGGUUUAAGCGUGUAGGCUGGUUUUCCAGGCAAAUCCGGAAAAUCAAGGCUGAGGCGUGAUGACGAGGCACUACGGUGCUGAAGCAACAAAUGCCCUGCUUCCAGGAAAAGCCUCUAAGCAUCAGGUAACAUCAAAUCGUACCCCAAACCGACACAGGUGGUCAGGUAGAGAAUACCAAGGCGCUUGAGAGAACUCGGGUGAAGGAACUAGGCAAAAUGGUGCCGUAACUUCGGGAGAAGGCACGCUGAUAUGUAGGUGAGGUCCCUCGCGGAUGGAGCUGAAAUCAGUCGAAGAUACCAGCUGGCUGCAACUGUUUAUUAAAAACACAGCACUGUGCAAACACGAAAGUGGACGUAUACGGUGUGACGCCUGCCCGGUGCCGGAAGGUUAAUUGAUGGGGUUAGCCGCAAGGCGAAGCUCUUGAUCGAAGCCCCGGUAAACGGCGGCCGUAACUAUAACGGUCCUAAGGUAGCGAAAUUCCUUGUCGGGUAAGUUCCGACCUGCACGAAUGGCGUAAUGAUGGCCAGGCUGUCUCCACCCGAGACUCAGUGAAAUUGAACUCGCUGUGAAGAUGCAGUGUACCCGCGGCAAGACGGAAAGACCCCGUGAACCUUUACUAUAGCUUGACACUGAACAUUGAGCCUUGAUGUGUAGGAUAGGUGGGAGGCUUAGAAGUGUGGACGCCAGUCUGCAUGGAGCCGACCUUGAAAUACCACCCUUUAAUGUUUGAUGUUCUAACGUUGACCCGUAAUCCGGGUUGCGGACAGUGUCUGGUGGGUAGUUUGACUGGGGCGGUCUCCUCCUAAAGAGUAACGGAGGAGCACGAAGGUUGGCUAAUCCUGGUCGGACAUCAGGAGGUUAGUGCAAUGGCAUAAGCCAGCUUGACUGCGAGCGUGACGGCGCGAGCAGGUGCGAAAGCAGGUCAUAGUGAUCCGGUGGUUCUGAAUGGAAGGGCCAUCGCUCAACGGAUAAAAGGUACUCCGGGGAUAACAGGCUGAUACCGCCCAAGAGUUCAUAUCGACGGCGGUGUUUGGCACCUCGAUGUCGGCUCAUCACAUCCUGGGGCUGAAGUAGGUCCCAAGGGUAUGGCUGUUCGCCAUUUAAAGUGGUACGCGAGCUGGGUUUAGAACGUCGUGAGACAGUUCGGUCCCUAUCUGCCGUGGGCGCUGGAGAACUGAGGGGGGCUGCUCCUAGUACGAGAGGACCGGAGUGGACGCAUCACUGGUGUUCGGGUUGUCAUGCCAAUGGCACUGCCCGGUAGCUAAAUGCGGAAGAGAUAAGUGCUGAAAGCAUCUAAGCACGAAACUUGCCCCGAGAUGAGUUCUCCCUGACUCCUUGAGAGUCCUGAAGGAACGUUGAAGACGACGACGUUGAUAGGCCGGGUGUGUAAGCGCAGCGAUGCGUUGAGCUAACCGGUACUAAUGAACCGUGAGGCUUAACCUUACAACGCCGAAGCUGUU